rnacentral:lncRNA from 1 species
GGUGAAUGCAGGAAAAUUGGGAAGAAAACAUCCUGAGCUGCAACAUGGUUACUUGGUGGAGGCUGAGACCUACGAACAAUGAAGGCGGGGAGAGGAUGAGGAACUCAGGAGAAUCAAGCACAAAAUGACAGGGAAGAUAAAAGACUGGAGGAUAUACGCUCACAUUUUUGAAAUAUUAUAUGUGUGUGUGUAUAUAAAGAAACUAAUUUUUUAUUAUUUACAAUCUAAUCAGAAAAAAAAAGAGAGGAUCUUUGAUCAUUUUAGUCUCAUCAUCAGGGAGAAGUUUUCCCUGUAAAGCAAAUUUGAUGGGUCCCUCCUGUGUGUGUGGAGUAGCCCUAGGACUUCUCAGCUCUGGGCACUUGUGGUGAGGCAAGGUUUUGUUUUACACUCACCUUUCUUAUUCCUUUUCUGUCCUGAAAAUCCACUCCACCUGCCUUUCCAGAGUAAAAGAACAGGGACAAUGUGAGCAUAAUAAUAUCUCUAAGUCAGAUAAUGAGGGACCAUCAUCAAUCUUAGCAAAAAAAGGAUAGUUCAUUGUGUAGAGAUACAUUCUGAAGUAUGUGAAGCCACCUUAGAAGAUACUCAGGACCCAGGGAUCACAUGCAGACUCUGGAAUUUGAAGCCAGAAAACUGGGAACAAAACACAUUUGCGACACAGGGAGGAAAAGAGAGAAAGAGAAAACUGGAACAACCUCUAUUUCCUGCAAUAUAGCUAAUCAGAUACCCAGAGCAACCCUCCUACUGAAAACAGCUAAUAUGGUUAAUAAAACGUUAAAAACUCACCUUUCUAAAUGUAUCACUGAGCUGCUAAUAAAGGAAAGACUCCUCAGAGACCAG